AGUGAACGCUGGCGGUAGGCCUAACACAUGCAAGUCGAACGGCAGCACAGUAAGAGCUUGCUCUUACGGGUGGCGAGUGGCGGACGGGUGAGGUAUACAUCGGAAUCUACUUUUUCGUGGGGGAUAACGUAGGGAAACUUACGCUAAUACCGCAUACGACCUACGGGUGAAAGCAGGGGAUCUUCGGACCUUGCGCGAUUGAAUGAGCCGAUGUCGGAUUAGCUAGUUGGCGGGGUAAAGGCCCACCAAGGCGACGAUCCGUAGCUGGUCUGAGAGGAUGAUCAGCCACACUGGAACUGAGACACGGUCCAGACUCCUACGGGAGGCAGCAGUGGGGAAUAUUGCACAAUGGGCGCAAGCCUGAUCCAGCCAUACCGCGUGGGUGAAGAAGGCCUUCGGGUUGUAAAGCCCUUUUGUUGGGAAAGAAAGGCAGCAGGUUAAUACCCCGCUGUUCUGACGUUACCCAAAGAAUAAGCACCGGCUAACUUCGUG
rnacentral:rRNA from 1 species